AGCCAUCUAGCGUGAAAAUUUCAACCACUUGUAGUUUUCGUUUUGUAACAUUUUAAGAUCUAUCAAAACAACAAGGAAAACUUCCAACCUACAAUGCUGACUAAAUCUUUAAUAAAAUGCGUGACGGGAAGUACUCGUUUAUUUCAUGCCAGUGCACAGCUCACGUAUCCUUUAGUACCCAUUGUCAUUGAACAAACUGGACGAGGAGAACGGGCUUAUGACAUUUAUUCUAGGUUGCUAAAAGAAAGAAUCAUAUGCGUUAUGGGGCCGAUUACAGAUGACUUGUCUAGUCUAGUUGUUGCUCAAUUGCUGUUCCUUCAGUCAGAAAGCAACAAAAAGCCAGUUCACAUGUACAUAAACAGUCCAGGUGGUUCAGUAACAGCAGGAUUGGGUAUUUAUGAUACAAUGCAAUAUGUUCUUCCACCAAUUGCCACCUGGUGUGUUGGGCAAGCUUGUAGUAUGGCCAGCCUUCUGUUAGCGUCAGGAUCCCCAGGAAUGAGAUACUCACUGCCAAAUUCUCGAAUCAUGAUCCAUCAACCAUCUGGUGGUGUUCAAGGACAAGCAACAGAUAUUCAAAUCCAAGCAGAAGAAAUUAUGAAACUGAAAAAGCAGAUAAAUCAGCUAUAUGGCAAACAUACUGGCUUGCAGUUGUCUGUAAUAGAGAGCAACAUGGAGCGUGACAAGUUCAUGUCACCAGCAGAAGCCAAAGAAUUUGGCUUGAUUGAUAAGAUCUUAGAACAUCCACCAAAACAUGAACACUUGGCUGCUAAUAAGGAUGAAAAGACUGAACCAAAGUUGUAAAUGUGCUGUUAUUAAAGAAUAUUUUCCACAUCUUGUUAGCAGAUCAUGGGCCUAUCCAGCUGUCGAGAGAUGGUAAGUAAUACGUCGGUGGUGCUAGAGACGCCGAUUCAUCUCAUCUGUGCCUCUUUAAUGUUUUGAUAACAUGAGAGCAUACCUUCCUCUUGAGUCACCAGAAGAAAUUAAUUGACGGCAACAGUUGGUAACAUGAUUUGUGUAGUUAGAAGAGUAGAAUCGCAAUUUUUAAACAUCAUUAAAAUGCGUCGCGUAACAACAUCGAGGAAAGGUAAAUGGAGAUAAGUUUGAACCACAAUCGUGCUGCAAGAAUCGGAACCCAUUUGUUAGCGGAUGAAGAAAGGGGGGAAAAAACCCCGUGGUGUCAUUGGGCAAAAGGGACGACAGGUGAGUACCAGUCCAAAAAGGCAAUUGAUGAUAGAGCCCUGUUUCCAGGAAUUCAACACGCCUACCUACACACAUCCUUCCGCCCUCCCCUUUAACUCUUUUGCUUCCUUUCAGUUAUAACAAUGAAGGCACACAUGUCUGACACCCCCCACCUGGAGCGCCCUACCCUUUUUUCCGAGAAUUCCGCAGUCCCCUCCCUUUCUAUUAUUUAGGUGGUUCGUUUUCGUUUCUUUCAUAGCAGUUAAUCCCUCCCCUUUCCUCUAUCCAGAUUAAUGGUUUAUUCCAAGGUGUUAUAGUUCAACGACAAAAAUUAAACAUCAUUUGAGAAGCUCCUACUAGGCUUGUGGUGCACCCUGCGCCCAAGCGAUGCAGGACGAAUACUCCAAGUAGGUUAACCCACCGCGCACAAGAGAUCCUUUCCCUAUUCGACGCCGUCAGUCAGUGAUGUUGGAGCGGCUGUCCAACACGAGCCAGAUGUAACUUUCUCCGCUCUUUUCUUAAAACCCAUCAUUUGAAUUCCACGAUCUUCAUUCAACCCAAAAGUACAAGCUUAAAAUGGCCCAAUCGCAUACGUCCUGGGGUAUACGAGGUCGACGGGAACUUUUAAGCUGGGAUGGAAGUAACAGCAGCAGUAGCACUAACCAGCCAUCCAGCAGUCCAACGGAACGCCCAAUCACUCCAUCAGUUAUCGAAGUCGUUCACCCUGAUGGGAAUUGUUCCUGGUGUGGAGCGAGCGAGAUCGGAGAUGGCGGUGUUCGAGGACACGUCGAAACCCAGGGAUCUGGUCCUGCAAAAGUGUUUUGUUCAGAUAUUUGCUUUUCGCAAUGUCGACGGGCGGCCUUUAAGCGGGCAAAGGUCUGCGAUUGGUGCAAACACGUUCGACAUACCGUCAGCUAUGUCGAUCUCCACGACGGCCAGCGCCAAUUGCAAUUCUGCACCGACAAGUGCCGUAACCAAUAUAAAAUGAGGCUUUUUGUUGCCGAGGCCAGCUCAUUGGGCGUACAAAGUUGUGCCACACCCGGCUCAAAGGGUGAGACUUCGCCCGGUACCUCGAUCGAUCUAAAAAAACAGUCGACAGGUAUAUUAAUCACGCCGGAUUUGUGGCUCUCCGACUGCCAGCUCGAUAAUCCGAUCAACGUUAAACUUGAAUGCAAUGAAGAAACCGAAUUAGCUUCAUUUGACUCUGAACCUGAAGAAAAAAACUGCGAAAUCCCGCUGAAUCUAGUCCACUCUUCACGUCGCAGUGACCAACCAGUCAAAAGAAAACCGAAUCUAGUCGAAAUUCCUUUGUCGAAAAAAGGUAAGAGUCACCGAAAACAUCAUUCGAGUAGUCAUCAACAUAAAACGUCGAUUUACACGCGGAACCUGAUUCCACCACCCCCGCCGACUCUGCCAUGCCCAGCAACAACAUGGCCAUCUUUUCCUUAUCCACCACAUAUGGUCCCAUCGUACAUUCUACAGUCACAAUUCUUGGCUUUAAAUCGUUCACUUAAACCACCAAAGAAUCCCUGCGUGCGUUCUACUGAUCGCGAAGACCAAAUUUCAUUUACGCCCGUAAUCGAAUCCAACAAAAUGCCAUCCGAACCUGCCGUAGAGCAAUCAUCGACGAAAGUCACCAAACCGCCUGAUGAGAGGACGGCAGAAGCCAUCAAUGAAUCUACUGAAAAUAAACAAGAAAUAAAUCAUACAAAAUUGUUGACUCCAGAGAUUCCUCCCAAUGUUGUUGUUCUGCGCAUCCCGUAUCUGAUCCCGCUACCCAUUCCUGUCCCCAUACCUAUCCCUUUGAACAUACACGAAAAGUAUCUUAAACACGUUUUAACGUGAAUUCGUCCGUCCUGACGCCCAUCGUAACGAUCUCAUCAUGCAUAUAGUUUCCGUAGUCUCAAGUAUAAACUGUGUCUGUGUUUUGGGAAAUGUUUCUCUCAAAUAAAUUAUUGUUCA